rnacentral:rRNA from 1 species
UACGGGGGGGGCAAGCGUUGUUCGGAAUUACUGGGCGUAAAGGGUUCGUAGGUGGCUUGUUAAGUCAGACGUGAAAUCCCUCGGCUCAACCGGGGAACUGCGUCUGAGACUGAUGAGCUCGAGUGCAGGAGAGGAACGCGGAAUUCCAGGUGUAGCGGUGAAAUGCGUAGAUAUCUGGAGGAACACCGGUGGCGAAGGCGGCAUCCUGGACCGAAACUGACACUGAGGCGCGAAAGCUAGGGGAGCAAACGGG